GAUGAAGAACGCAGCGAAAUGCGAUAAGUAGUGUGAAUUGCAGAAUUCAGUGAAUCAUCGAAUCUUUGAACGCACAUUGCGCCCCUUGGUAUCCCGAGGGGCAUGCCUGUUCGAGCGUCAUUUCACCACUCAAGCCUGGCUUGGUGUUGGGCGACGUCCCCUUUGGGGACGCGCCUCGAAACGCUCGGCGGCGUGGCACCGGCUUUAAGCGUAGCAGAAUCUUUCGCUUUGGAAGUCGGGGCCCCGUCUGCCGGAAGACCUACUCGCAAGGUUGACCUCGGAUCAGGCAGGGAUACCCGCUGAACUUAAGCAUAUCAAUAAGCAGAGGA
rnacentral:misc_RNA from 1 species